UAGAAGAUACAUUUAGUUCUUCUAGCGGGAUAAGGCUAUACACACAUUUCUGACUAGCAAAUGUAAUAUUUUUUAAAUGAAAAUAAGCCUAGUUAAUGAAUGAAGUGGAAAAAGUAACUGGCUAACAAUGAGGCUGUUCUCGGCUGUUUAUUUAACACUGUAUUGUCUUCCCCUAGUUUGAAGACUGAAAUGAGAGAAAAGUAGGUCGAGUCUGUAGGGAGAGCAGGCCUUUCAGAGAGUAAGGUCGGUCGAGUCUGUGGGGAGAGCAGGCCUUUCAGAGAGUAAGGUCGGUCGAGUCUGUGGGGAGAGCAGGCCUUUCAGAGAGUAAGGUCGGUCGAGUCUGUGGGGAGAGCAGGCCUUUCAGAGAGUAAGGUCGGUCGAGUCUGUGGGGAGAGCAGGCCUUUCAGAGAGUAAGGUUGGUCGAGUCUAUGGGGAGAGCAGGCCUUUCAGAGAGUAAGGUCGGUCGAGUCUAUGGGGAGAGCAGGCCUUUCAGAGAGUAAGGUCGGUCAAGUCUAUGGGGAGAGCAGGCCUUUCAGAGAGUAAGGUCGGUCGAGUCUAUGGGGAGAGCAGGCCUUUCAGAGAGUAAGGUCGGUCGAGUCUGUGUGGAGAGCAGGCCAUUCAGAGAGUAAGGUUGGUCGAGUCUGUUUGGAGAGCAGGCCUUUCAGAGAGUAAGGUAGAUCGAGUCCAUGGGGAGAGCAGGCCUUUCAGAGAGAGAGUGAAGAAGAUGAAGAUGACGGGAGUAGAGUGAUGAAGGGUACCGAGUCACAGCAAACCAAUGCCUGGGAACACAAACACACACACACCUCACUCACCCAGGUUGUGCUCGGUGAACAACGGCAGAUUGACGCUCGAGUUGAAGCUCCCUGGAGUAGAAAAGAUGCAAUAACCACAUCCACUUUAAUACAAUAGGUUAGCAAGCUUGAAAUAAACAAAUAUCACACUUGUAUUCAUUUGAAAUGGAGAGCAGAGAAGAAAGAAAGGGUGGUGACUAAUACAGUAG
rnacentral:lncRNA from 1 species